rnacentral:rRNA from 1 species
AACGAACGCUGGCGGCAUGCCUAACACAUGCAAGUCGAACGAGACCUUCGGGUCUAGUGGCGCACGGGUGCGUAACGCGUGGGAACCUGCCCUUAGGUUCGGAAUAACUCCCCGAAAGGGGUGCUAAUACCGGAUAAUGUCUUCGGACCAAAGAUUUAUCGCCUUUGGAUGGGCCCGCGUUGGAUUAGCUAGUUGGUAGGGUAAAAGCCUACCAAGGCGACGAUCCAUAGCUGGUCUGAGAGGAUGAUCAGCCACACUGGGACUGAGACACGGCCCAGACUCCUACGGGAGGCAGCAGUGGGGAAUAUUGGACAGUGGGCGAAAGCCUGAUCCAGCACUGCCGCGUGAGUGAUGAAGGCCUUAGGGUUGUAAAGCUCUUUUACCCGGGAUGAUAAUGACAGUACCGGGAGAAUAAGCUCCGGCUAACUCCGU